rnacentral:snRNA from 1 species
CGGGUUUUGUUCGUCUUC